rnacentral:rRNA from 1 species
UUUCCGUAGGUGAACCUGCGGAAGGAUCAUUAUUGAAAUAAACCUGAUGGGUUGCUGCUGGCUCUCUAGGGAGCAUGUGCACACUUGUCAUCUUUAUAUCUCCACCUGUGCACCUUUUGUAGAUCUGGAUAUCUUUCUGAAUGCCUGGCAUUCAGGUUUGAGGAUUGACUUUUGUCUUUCCUUACAUUUCCAGGCCUAUGUUUUCUUCAUAUACACCAUGUAUGUUAUAGAAUGUAAUAAAAAGGCCUUUGUGCUACAAACCUAUACAACUUUCAGCAACGGAUCUCUUGGCUCUCGCAUCGAUGAAGAACGCAGCGAAAUGCGAUAAGUAAUGUGAAUUGCAGAAUUCAGUGAAUCAUCGAAUCUUUGAACGCACCUUGCGCUCCUUGGUAUUCCGAGGAGCAUGCCUGUUUGAGUGUCAUUAAUAUAUCAACCUCCUCAGGUUUUUACUUGUCGAGUGUUUGGAUGUGGGGGUAUCUUUUGCUGGUCUCUUUUGAGGUCGGCUCCCCUGAAAUGCAUUAGCGGAACAAUUUGUUGACUCGUUCAUUGGUGUGAUAACUAUCUACGCUAUUGACGUGAAGCAGGUUCAGCUUCUAACAGUCCAUUGACUUGGACAAAUUUUCAUUAAUGUGACCUCAAAUCAGGUAGGACUACCCGCUGAACUUAA